AAGUCCAAGGGUUCCUGCUUAAAGCUAAUCUGAGCAGGGUAAGCCGGCCCCUAAGCCGAGGCCGAAAGGCGUAGUCGAUGGGAACUAGGUUAAUAUUCCUAGGCCGUGGAGUGGUGACGGAUCUCAGAGGUAGUUCAUCCUUAUCGGAUUGAAUGGGCUGCUGAGAGGUUCCUGGAAAUAGCCCUCCUAUAAGACCGUACCCUAAACCGACACAGGUGGGAUGGUAGAGUAUACCAAGGCGCUUGAGAGAACUGUGCUGAAGGAACUCGGCAAAUUGCCUCCGUAACUUCGGGAUAAGGAGGCCCACCAUUAAGGCAACUUUUUGGUGGGGGCACAAAAGAGGGGGUGGCGACUGUUUACUAAAAACACAGGGCUCUGCGAAGUCGCAAGACGACGUAUAGGGUCUGACGCCUGCCCGGUGCCGGAAGGUUAAGAGGAGAGGUGAGAGCUUUGAAUCGAAGCCCCGGUAAACGGCGGCCGUAACAAUAACGGUCCUAAGGUAGCGAAAUUCCUUG
rnacentral:rRNA from 1 species